AAUCAACGCUGGCGGCGUGCCUCAGACAUGCAAGUCGAACGAUUAAAGCUCGUCUUCGGAGAGUGUAUAGAGUGGCGCACGGGUGAGUAACACGUAAGUAAUCUACCGUUUGAGUGGGGAAUAACGUCCGGAAACGGACGCUAAUACCGCAUAAUGCAGCGGCAUCGCAAGAUGACAGUUGUUAAAGAUUUAUCGCUUGAAGAGGAGCUUGCGGCAGAUAGCUAGUUGGUAAGGUAAUGGCUUACCAAGGCUACGAUCUGUAACCGGUCUAAGAGGACGGUCGGUCACACUGACACUGAAUAACGGGUCAGACUCCUACGGGAGGCAGCAGUCGGGAAUUUUGGGCAAUGGGCGAAAGCCUGACCCAGCAACGCCGCGUGAAGGAU
rnacentral:rRNA from 1 species